UACGGGGGGGGGCAAGCGUUGUUCGGAAUUACUGGGCGUAAAGGGCUCGUAGGUGGCCAACUAAGUCAGACGUGAAAUCCCUCGGCUUAACCCGGGAACUGCGUCCGAAACUGGCAGGCUCGAAUCCGGGAGAGGGAUGUGGAAUUCCAGGUGUAGCGGUGAAAUGCGUAGAUAUCUGGAGGAACACCGGUGGCGAAGGCGGCAUCCUGGACCGGUAUUGACGCUGAGGCGCGAAAGCCAGGGGGAGCAAACGGG
rnacentral:rRNA from 1 species